GUUUUCGGAGGGCUCUUCACUCGAUAUGUAUAAUCUAAUGCCACUAAGUACUAUGAAAUGAUCGACUGGUCUUCUACAGUAGUUUCACCUCCUCCAGUACUUAGGAAUGUGUCAAAUGCAGUUUUGGUAUCUUCCAUUGGUAACCAACUAUCAAUCGGUCAAAGCAACUUGCUAAGCUUUCCAUGCCACACUCAAGCAGUAGAGCGAACUGUUAAGCUUGUUACUGAAGCGUCGAAGAAGUUUGCCUAAAUUUGAGAACAAGUCCCAGUAUACAAAAGACAAAUAAAACAAAAUCGAAAAACAAAAAGAAAAUUAAAAAAAAAACAACAAAAAUUUUAAAAAAUCUAAAAAAAAAUCAAAAAAAAAAUAUAUAAAUCAUUAAAAAAAUACAAAAAAAUCAUUAAAAACAAAUAAAAAAAUAGCAAUAAAAAACUGGGAUCAGAUUUUUCACUACGUCCUCGUCGUUGAUCCUGGGGAAAGCUGAGCGUGAAAAACAAUCGUAAUGCAUGAAAUUUGUACUAAAAACUUAUUUAUUUUAAAUUCUUAAAACCACUAUUGAUUUACCUAAUUACGAAAAAACCUUUUAAAUGAUUCAAAAUAAAUAUAAUAAUAAGUAAAACUUUGGAAAAUUGCGACUAAAUCGUACUUUCAAGAAGUUUUGAAAAUUCGGUAUUUUCGAAAAUUUUUCGAAACUUUAAGUGCGAUGCGCGAACAGAAGAUAUUGACCGAUU